CUCGCUCUAACGGGGUGCCUGGCGUCUGCCGGGCUGAGAGACCUGACGGUCAACCCGAAGAACCUGAUCCGGUUUGUACCGGCGGAGGGAUUAGACGUGCACACCGC
rnacentral:ncRNA from 1 species